rnacentral:rRNA from 1 species
GACGAACGCUGGCGGCGUGCUUAACACAUGCAAGUCGAACGGAAAGCGCCUGCUUCUUUGGUGUGCUCGUGUGGCGAACGGGUGAGUAAGAAAUGAGUAACCUACCCUUGCCUUUGGGGUAACUUCAGGUAACUGGGGCUAAUACCGGAUACGAGCUCCUUCUGCAUGGCGGGGGUUGGAAAGUUUCGGCGGCUGGGGAUGGUCUCGCGGCUUAUCAGCUUGGUGGUGGGGUAGUGGCUUACCAUGGAGUUGACGGGUAGCCGGCCUGAGAGGGUGACCGGCCACAUUGGGACUGAGAUACGGCCCAGACUCCUACGGGAGGCAGCAGUGGAGAAUAGUGCAAAAUGGGCGGAAGGCGGAAGGAGCAACGCCGCGUGCGGGAUGACGGCCUUCGGGUUGUAAACCGCUUUCGCCUGUGACGAAGCGUGAGUGACGGUAAUGGGUAAAGAAGCACCGGCUAACUACGUG